AAAAACGCCCUUAGUCUAACUAUCUCUCUUUACUUUCUCUAGCAGACACAUCUCUCACUCCUUUUAAAAAACCACCGCCAUCACCACCCAGCCCACCACCACUAUCACCACUGCCACAACCACCCUCCGCCACAACCACCACCACCGCCAUCAUCACCACUGCUGAUUUCCACCAACACCACCACCACCAACAACUGUUUCUUCCUUCACAUAGUUAUACACACACACACUGACGCUACGUCUAUACAUACACCAUGUCUACGAGCUUCAACAGUAACCCUCGGAGCCCUGCAACCAGCUCCAAGCUGCAGCUCAGUGGCGUUGGUGGUGUUUCUAGGGCUAUCAGAUCUUCUUCCUCCAAAAAAACCGUCGAAGCCGCUCCGCCGUGCAAUCGCCAAUUGUUUAUCUUCUUCGCUGAUUUCCGUUACGGAAGCUCAUGGGCGGUUAUUUCAGAAGCUUCCAGAACACUACGGGAUUUGCAUUUGCCCACCAGCCCCCACAUUCUUCCCAAUUGUGACCAACAAAGCAUUAAAGCUGGCCUCUGGUGACUUGAUCAAGCUGGCAAAUGGACAGACACCUUGACCCAGAUCCAAGCUGUGCUGGUUGAUGCAGGUCAGAAACACAUAAAAGAAGAGUCUGUUCAAUUGUGGCUAAACAAACUCCAGCAUUUGGCUUAUGAAAUAGACGAUUUACUUGAUGAUUUGGCCACAGAAGCCAUGCUGAAUAAAAAAUCUGAUGCUAGCACAAGUAAGGUAUUGAAGUUCAUUCCAAACAAAUUUCAUGCCCUUAAAUAUGGCCAUAAGGUAAGUUCUAAGCUAGAUGGAAUUACAGAAAAAUUGAGUAAGCUUGUUGAGCAGAAAAACCUUUUGGGUUUGAAUGAUAAUGUUGAAAGGUCAUAUAGAGCUAGUAGACGGUUGGAGGAAACUUCACUGGUUGAUGAAACCGAAAUUAUAGGCCGGGAAGGUGAUAAAGAGGAAGUUGUUGGGCAGUGAAUCUUCUUCAAGUAGUCAAAAUGUCAAUGUGGUGUCCAUAGUUGGUUUGGGUGGUAUUGGCAAGACCACUCUUGCCCAACUUUUGUACAACGAUAACAAAGUGAAGAAACAUUUUGAACCCAUGUCAUGGGUUUGUAUUUCAGAUGACUUCGAUGUAUUUACAAUUAGCAAAGCCAUUUUUAAAGAUGUUGGCGGCGGUGACGAAAAUUUUGAAACUCUAAAUAAGCUUCAAGUGGCCCUUACAGAAAAACUUUUAAAUAAAAGGUUCCUACUUGUUCUAGACGAUGUGUGGGACGAAAAUGCUGACAAGUGGGAACUCCUAAAGCGGCCUUUUACUGUAGGGGCUCUUGGAAGUAAAGUUCUUGUGACGACACGGAACGCCAAGGUUGCAUCGGUGAUGGACUCUGUUCAAGCGUACCAUCUUGAUCUUCUUUCAGAUGGAGACGCUUUGUCUUUAUUUGCUCAACAUGCAUCAGGUCAGCAAAACAUCAAUGUCAAUCGAACACUUAAAUUACACGGUGAAGAUAUUGUCAAGAAGUGUGGUAGAUUGCCUUUGGCUUUAAGAGCACUUGGGAGGGUGUUUAGAACAAAAUCCUCUGAUGAAGAAUGGGAGGAACUCUUGAAUAGUGAGAUAUGGAAGUUAGGUAAUGAAAGUGGGAUUCUGCCUGCUCUAAAGCUAAGUUACUAUGAUCUUCCACCACGUUUGAAGCAAAUGUUUGUGUAUUGUUGUUUAUUCCCCAAGGACUACACCUUUGACAUGGAUGAACUGGUCCUGCUGUGGAUGGCUGAAGGAUUUUUAGGCGAGUCAAACGCAAACAAGUCAAUGGAGAGUUUUGGUCGGGAGUGUUUUAAAGAGCUGGUGUCGAGGUCAUUCUUUCAGCAUUCAAACAAAGAUAAAUCACAAUAUACAAUGCAUGACCUGAUAAAUGACUUGGCGAAUAGUGUUGCGGGAGAGUUCUUUUUUAUGUUGGAGGAUAAGACGGGAGUUUACGAUAGGAGUGAAGCUUUGGAGAAGUUCCACCACAUUUCUUUUAUUCAGGAAGAAUAUGUAUUUUACAGAAAGUUCAAAGCAUUACAAAGAACUAGAUGCUUGCGAACAUUCUUAGCCAUAAGCUCGAGUAGUUUGGGCUUUUUAUCCAUGUCGAACAUGGCUCUUGUCAAAAUACUUCCGCAACUGCAAUUUCUAAGGGUGUUAAGCCUAGCUAAUAGUUCAAUCAAAGAGGUACCAGAAUCCAUUGGUGGUCUUAAACAUUUACGGUACCUCAAUUUUUCCAACACUUGUAUCGAAUUCUUACCUGAGCAAGUAGGUGAUCUUCUUAAUCUACAGAGCUUAUUGUUGUCUGGUUGUGAUUACUUGUGUAUCUUGCCAAAUAGUGUUGUAGAGUUAAUAAACCUACGACACCUUGACAUCAAUGACACUCCAAAAUUGAACGAGAUGCCAUUGGGAUUUGGUAGGUUGACGGGUCUACAAACUCUAUCCAAAGUCAUUAUUGGAGGAACGGGUAAGUUCAGAUUAUCUGAUUUGAAGGGAUUUUUGCAUCUUCAUGGUCAACUUUCCAUUCAAGGGCUGCACAAAGUGAAAAAUGCAGCACAUCAAAAGAAGGGUAUAUGUGAUUUGCAAUUGAAAUGGAGUAACGUAUUUGAUGGUUCUCGGAAUGAAAUAAGUGAAUAUGAAGUACUUGAAGGGUUAAGGCCUUUUGAGAAGCCUCAAGAUUCUCUAUUAUGGUGGAACAAAGUUUCCUACUUGGGUUGGGGAUCCCUCGUUUGUUUGCUUAACUCAACUUACAUUAACCGACUGUAGAAGUUGUAAAUGUUUACCAAUGCUUGGCCAACUACCGGCACUUCAAAACUUGUGUGUAGAAAGCAUACACGAUUUAGACAAAGUGGGUUCUGAGUUACUUGGAGAUACCAACUCUUGUAGUGGUAUUGCGUUGAAGUUUUGGAAUUUAGAGAUAUGCAGAAUUGGAAGGAAUGGUCAACUAGUGGUGGUGAAAAGUGCGAAACGUUUCCCUGUCUUCGUGAGAUAUCUAUAGUAAAUUGUCCGAAGCUAGAUGUAGUGGCAAUCGAUUCAAUACAGUCACUUCAGGUUUUGCAUGUAUUAGGGUGUUCUAUAGUGGUGUUAAAAAGCAUGGUCGGUGUGUCUUCUUCACUCCUUAGCUUGAAAAUGAAGAAUGUUAAAGGUCUUACUUGUUUACAUGGAGAAGUUAUAGAGCAUCUUGGGGCAGUUGAAUAUCUCAAAAUCUCAUCCUGUAGUGAGCUCAAGUACUUGUGGGAAUCUGAAGUAGACGCUUGCGAGAUUCUUAAGAGUUUACAGGAGUUGGAAAUAAGUGAGUGUGAAGAAAUAAUAUCAUUGGGAGAGAAAGAAGUGCAUUUAGGGAAUCUGUUACAAAAGUGAGCAUUAUAAGGUGCCCAAGACUGAAGAGUUUCAAGUGUCCAAAUAGUAUUGAGAAGCUGGAAAUAUGGGAUUGCCCUGUAGUUACACUUACAGAUGGCCUCCCAUCCACUUUGAAGUUUCUUUAUUUUAAUGAUUGUGAUAAUCUGGAUGUAAGAUGGUCUGUCAUCAACAACUUGUCAUUUUUAAAAUGCCCAAACUGAAGUUGUUUCCUGAAGGUUGCUUAUCUUAUCUCACCGAGUUAAGAAUAUGGGAUUGUGAUAACAUUGAAUCCAUUCCAGAUAAUGGUUACGGGUUUCUUCCAUUUCUUUGCUUGAUUGCAGGAAUCUGAAGUCAUUUCCUCAUGAGCAUUUGCAAAGUCUAACAUCUCUGGAAUAUAUGGAAAUAAGUUAUUGUCCAAGUCUGGAUGACUCUUUUCCCUGUGGUUUGUGGCCUCCUAAUUUAAGAUGGUUAGAAAUAGGAGGGUUAAAGAAGGACAUUUCAGAGCCAGCCUCACUUGUUACACUUAUAUUGAAUGGUAGAAAUUCAGACAGAGUGGUUUCAUUUGGUGCAGAAGCAGAAGAUAUAUCAUCUUUUCUUCUUCCAUCAUCUCUAACUAGACUACAUUUAUUAUUUUUUACAGUUUCAGAGGGCCUGCAACACCUCACCAGCCUACAACAUCUUGGAAUAUGGUUAUGUCCUAAGCUUAGAGAUCUGCCAGAGACACAACUCCCUUCACUUUUAAGUUUGGCUGUGAUUGAAUGUUCCCCAGAAUUGAGAAAAAAGUGUAGUCCUGGUAGAAGAAAAGGCAAGUACUGGUCCAUCAUCUCCCAAAUCCCGAGACUUACUGUCAGAAAAACAGUGUAGUCCUGAAUUGAGUUAAACAAAAAUGUAGUGCUAGUGCAAGUAGAAAAGGCAAGCACUGGGUCAUCAAUUUAUCAAUUACUUUUUGUGAUAACAUAGAUUCUAUUCCAGAAUCUCACAUCUCUGGAAGAAAUGGUGAUAAGUUAUUUUCCAGCAUUCCCUCCGGCCCAAAUAAUAUAUUGUGUUCAGCAGCCCAGGAGGAGCAAACUGUGGUGGUCUAACCGACUCGCGUGGUGACCGAACAAACAGUGCAAUGAAAAUGGAACAGAUGACGAUGAAGAUGAAAAGAAAGAAGUAACGGGUUUUAAAGUAAGAACCACGGUUCCUACCGGGAACCGGACCAAAACCAAAUAGCUACCAAAACAAGAACCAUGACUGACCCUUAUUGCCCACGGUUUGGUUAUGCGGUUCUAACGGGUCAGUUAUAUGGUUCUGAUGGGUCCACACGUGAACUGCACACUCCUAGCGGUCUGAGUGGGCAUCGGUGGUCAGUUCAGCAGUCCGAAUUAAGACCAGCGAUCAAGUCGGAUAGUCCAGUGUGGCGGCGGUCCGGGUCAGUUAUAUGUUAGGUCACUCAAAUUCAUUAUAAAUUUAAUUCACUUUCAUAUUACAAAUCCUUUUUGAAAUGUUUAAAUUCUAAAUUCAAUUCCUUCAGAUUCUAAUUUCGUCAAAAAAUAAUUCCGCAAACCAAACACACUCUAAAAGUCUUUCCUAGAGGGUAAUUACAUUCCCAUCACAUUUUAUUUAUACUUGUUUUAUGGACAUCAUUUCUCAAUUACCAUGUAUCAAACAAGAGAAUCGUCAAUUUUUUGUUGGUAUGAUGUCUCUAUAACCGCCAUGUCGGACAAGAAAACACAACUAUAAUCCAGAGGGUUCCCAAUGGACCGCCUUUAAUUAACAUUUACAUGCAAACUUUAAAGGAAUGACAAACUAAAGUUAUUGGUCUUAGACUCUUAUCAUGUAGAAAGAACAAUCGUUUUGUUCCAUCCGACACUACAUAUCAAACGG